rnacentral:rRNA from 1 species
AACGAACGCUGGCGGCAGGCCUAACACAUGCAAGUCGAGCGCCCCGCAAGGGGAGCGGCGGACGGGUGAGUAACGCGUGGGAACGUGCCCUUUGCUACGGAAUAGCCCCGGGAAACUGGGAGUAAUACCGUAUAAGCCCUACGGGGGAAAGAUUUAUCGGCAAAGGAUCGGCCCGCGUUGGAUUAGGUAGUUGGUGGGGUAAUGGCCUACCAAGCCGACGAUCCAUAGCUGGUUUGAGAGGAUGAUCAGCCACACUGGGACUGAGACACGGCCCAGACUCCUACGGGAGGCAGCUGUGGGGAAUCUUAGACAAUGGGCGCAAGCCUGAUCUAGCCAUGCCGCGUGAGCGAUGAAGGCCUUAGGGUUGUAAAGCUCUUUCGUGGGGGAAGAUAAUGACUGUACCCCAAGAAGAAGCCCCGGCUAACUCCGUACCAGCAGCCGCCGUAA